rnacentral:tRNA from 1 species
CUAUUGGUGGCUCAGUGGUAGAAUUCUCACCUUCUGUGCGGGAGACCCAGGUUCAAUUCCUGACCAAGACA